rnacentral:rRNA from 1 species
UAGGGAAUCUUCCACAAUGGACGCAAGUCUGAUGGAGCAACGCCGCGUGAGUGAAGAAGGUUUUCGGAUCGUAAAGCUCUGUUGUUGGUGAAGAAGGAUAGAGGCAGUAACUGGUCUUUAUUUGACGGUAAUCAACCAGAAAGUCACGGCUAACUACGUGCCAGCAGCCGCGGUAAUACGUAGGUGGCAAGCGUUGUCCGGAUUUAUUGGGCGUAAAGCGAGCGCAGGCGGAAUGAUAAGUCUGAUGUGAAAGCCCACGGCUCAACCGGGGAACUGCAUCGGAAACUGUCAUUCUUGAGUGCAGAAGAGGAGGGUGGAAUUCCAUGUGUAGCGGUGGAAUGCGUAGAUAUAUGGAAGAACACCAGUGGCGAAGGCGGCUCUCUGGUCUGCAACUGACGCUGAGGCUCGAAAGCAUGGGUAGCGAACAGG